rnacentral:rRNA from 1 species
UACGUAGGGUGCGAGCGUUGUCCGGAAUUAUUGGGCGUAAAGGGCUCGUAGGCGGUUUGUCGCGUCGGGAGUGAAAACCCAGGGCUUAACCCUGGGCUGGCUUCCGAUACGGGCAGACUAGAGGUAUGCAGGGGAGAACGGAAUUCCUGGUGUAGCGGUGAAAUGCGCAGAUAUCAGGAAGAACACCCGUGGCGAAGGCGGCUCUCUGGGCCGUAACUGACGCUGAGGAGCGAAAGCGUGGGGAGCGAACAGG